GUGAGAGGGAGGUUGGCAGUGGAACUUGACUUGGAGGAGCUAGAAUGUCAGACAUCAGACUGAUUCCCUAAGAUGAUCAUCUGGGUUCAUUGAUCUCUGAAAAAAAUCCAGAAGUACUCCUCAAGAACAAACUAAAGUCCUCAAAUGAGAGUCAAAUGGGUCAUGUGCAUCAACAUUGUGAGCAUCAAAAAAUCCUUCAAUGGCAGCAGUGCCUACCAAUGUUAUUCUGUGUGCAAAAGCAGAGGGAGCUGGCUAAUAAUAAGAGAAGAGUCACCAUCAUAGAGAAAGAGUUGCCAAUUGAAAGAAAGUCCUACAUAAGGUUUGCUGAACUGUGCUGAGUCCAGAUGAUCUUCUAAAUACUUAAUUAAGAAAUUGUUUGUGUCUUAAUGAGAUCUGAAUAUUAGCCUUCCUACUGAUUGUUACCAGGAGUGAUAAUUGGUUGGAUUCUGUUCUAAUCAUUCAGAUUGUUUGUUGUUUAGCAUCUCAUUUUCUGUGUGUGAAAAAAAUAAUUGUUCCACAUGCAAUUUAUAUGGUUUACUGGAUGUCUUUUUAACUUCUAACUCUAUUGAGAGUAGAAAAGUCUUAUACUAAAGACAAAAAUAGACAUGUUCCCCUGUAGUUGUCUUGGAAGUGUGAAAUCAUUGGAAAUAGAACAUGGGAAAUCUAAUUCCCCAAAAUGAGUAGUCAAAGAAAUGAAUUGAGGGCAAAUUCUGAAUGUGAGAAAAGAAAUAAAACAGGUAUGUGUCACCA
rnacentral:lncRNA from 1 species